CGUGAAAAUCUUGGACGUUCUCAUAUUUUUGAUAGAGAAGA
rnacentral:sRNA from 1 species